rnacentral:snRNA from 1 species
UUACUUACCUGGACGGGGUCAAUGGACGAUCAAGAAGGUUCAUGGCCUAGGUUUGUGACCUCCAUUGCACUUGGGAGGGGUGCUCGCCUAUGGUCUCCUCAUAGUAGGAGAGCCAACGUCAUAAUUUCUUUCUGUGGGGGCUUGCGUUCGCGCAGCCCCUGC